GGAUGAAGAACGUAGCAAAAUGCGAUAAGUAAUGUGAAUUGCAGAAUUCAGUGAAUCAUCGAAUCUUUGAACGCACAUUGCGCCCGCUGGUAUUCCGGCGGGCAUGCCUGUUCGAGCGUCAUUUCAACCCUCAAGCCCCCGGGUUUGGUGUUGGGGAUCGGCUCUGCCCUUCUGGGCGGUGCCGCCCCCGAAAUACAUUGGCGGUCUCGCUGCAGCCUCCAUUGCGUAGUAGCUAACACCUCGCAACUGGAACGCGGCGCGGCCAUGCCGUAAAACCCCAACUUCUGAAUGUUGACCUCGGAUCAGGUAGGAAUACCCGCUGAACUUAAGCAUAUCAAUAAGCGGAGGA
rnacentral:misc_RNA from 1 species